UAACAAAAACAUUUCUUUUUAUAUGAAUUAAAAGGUAGUCCCUGCUCAAUGUGAUAUAAAUGGCCGCAAUGUUAAAAGUUGUGCGAAGGUAGCAUAAUAAUUUUCUUUUUAAAUGGAAGGUAGGAUGAAAGGGUUAACUAGAUAUCUGCUGUGUUGUUGUGUUUAUAAAAUUUUAUUAGAAGGUUAAAAAUCUUUCUAAAUUUAAAGGGACGACAAGACCCUGGGAGCUUAGAAAUAGUUAAGCAUAUUUAUUUAGCUGGGGCGGUUUAUAAUAGAAACAUUAAUAUGCUAGACAUAUUGUAUGAAUUUAGUGAUCAUUUUUUGAGCAGAAAGUUUAAGCUACCCCAGGGAUAACAGCACAAUUAUCUCUGAGAGUUUAUCUAAGAGGAUAGUUUGUGACCUCGAUGUUGAAUUAAGGAUGUCCUCUUGAAGGAGAGAGCUUGGGAGGAGAGUUUGUUCAACUCUUAAAUACUUACAUGAUCUGAGUUCAGACCGG
rnacentral:rRNA from 1 species